UACGUAGGGGGCAAGCGUUGUCCGGAUUUAUUGGGCGUAAAGAGCGUGUAGGCGGCCACACAGGUCUGCUGUGAAAACUCGAGGCUCAACCUCGAGCUGUCGGUGGAAACCGUGUGGCUAGAGUCCGGAAGAGGAGAGUGGAAUUCCCGGUGUAGCGGUGAAAUGCGCAGAUAUCGGGAAGAACGACCCGUGGCGAAGGCGGCUCUCUGGGGACGGUACUGACGCUGAGACGGCGAAAAGCGUGGGGAGCGAACAGG
rnacentral:rRNA from 1 species